CAUAAAUAUAUGGGUUUUUAGUCGAGUUGACAUGAAUUGAGCGCUGUUAGAGGUUUAUACUUUAUCAUAAAAACGGGGGUAAGAUUAAUUUAAAUUCUGGUCGGAAUUUUGAAAAUUUAACACUUGGAAAGCAGAAACUUGAAAACUUGGGAGUAAACUAAAGUUUAAACCAAAUGUUUUACACUUUUCAUAGAUUUAAUGCACCAAGUUUACGCAAAAGAGGUUGGCAUGGGACCGUUUUAUUAGCUUCAAAUAUUAUUCUGCAUGUGCUAUUUUGUUUACUGUUAAAUUUUAUUAAGUUUUGUAUGAUUUGUACUUGCUCAAGCAUCAUUACAUUAAAUCAAGUAACAAGGAAUGAAAAAAAUAAAUAUACUUGUUUAAGAUUUAUUGUUGAGAAAUGGUUCAGCCUUAUAUAACAUG